GUGAUUUCAAUACAUCUCGCACAAUGUUACGAAACCGGAGAGCUGGAGAUCUCGGCGGCAAGGAGUCGCAGGACGGCGCUCAGCACUUGCACUCGCCCGGCUUGCAGGCGCAGGAGGCGCCGCAGCUGCAGUUGGACGAGCCGCAGUUGGCAUUGUUCUUGGGGGGCUCACCGCAAGCGCAGUUGGGGUGGGAGCAGUUAGUGCUCGAAGUGGUGCACUUAACGUUGGACAUGGGGGAUAGCUUGUUUAGAUGUGAGGGAUGAAGCU
rnacentral:misc_RNA from 1 species